GAGCCGAUGUCAUUAAUAAGUCAACGUGGUGGAGUAUAAAUUUUCAGUACCCAUCGUUUCACCUCAGUUGUCCUAUAUUCAAAUUUUUGGCGAGUUGUUUACGGGUAAUUAAACCAGAUUGAUAAACAAGGAAUAUUUUGCGUCAAACCACAUUAAACCAGGUCAUCCUGGUGUUUCUGCAUAACAAAAAUCAUGAUCUCCACGUCAUUUAAAAGCUCGCAUUUCAUAGGUAAGUAGGGAUCGACAAAGCACGUGAUUUGAAAGCUCGCAUUUCAUUGGUACGUACCAAUCUGAUUACUUCCCAUAGCGAUAGCCACUGCCGAAAAAAAAUUGCUCUCGGUUCCUUCGAUAUUUUUGUCGUGUUCAACAAGAACUAAUAUGGCUGGCUACAGAAAUCAAGAACCGGUCCUUAGGUAUUACGAGGAAGUUCGCGUCAGGAGAAACUUCGUUCAAGAACACGACGUAACACUAUAUUACAUCAACCAAGGUCAAGGACGAGGAGACUUCCAAGUCAGAGGUGGAAGUAUACUUAAAGAGGAUUCAACAUCAGCUGGUCGCAGACUAACAAUUGGGUUCUACGUAAGAAAUAAUUUCAGAAGUUUUGAGAUUACUCGCAACCGGGGAGGAGCAUAUACUCUGCAUACUGGCGGAUACCUAAUGGACGAGUUGGAACGUACGUACUACUAAGACUGAUGAAAGCCAGCAUUUUAUUUCACACCGCUAAUUUUACGGGAGAUUGUAAUAUAUCAAUUGCUGUCCACGAUGGAGAGUGAAUAUCUUUGUGAUUUUUCUUAACACGGAAACAGCCGCCAUGUUGGUUUGCACAAUCAUUUUGAAACAAUCCUUGUUACUUGAUUCACAUCUGCUGAAAAUAACCUCUUAAGUAAAAGAGAGAUAGACUAUGCUAUUUCUUAUCUUGGUUAGUUUUCUAGUACAUUUCUAUCCGUUCAACGUCUUUUAAUGGAUGUUAAUUUCACUUGAAGCGCGCGAACAACUCAGCUUUAGCACAACUCGCUCAAGAAGCGCUCAUUAAGCAGCAAGUUACCGAACUAGUCUGUUUGCAUAUUAAUACUGAGCGAGCAUUUUUAUUAGAGAAUUGGUAAGCUUAAAUAAAGAUUCA